GCGCUUCCUAGGCAAGCGCUUUACCACUGAGCUAAAUCCCCAACCCCCCCUUUUUAAACAAGUACAAAGUCACUCAGAGAACCCUCAGGAGCAGGUUUCCCAGUGCCUGGUGCUUCAGAGAGGGGCGGCAAGACUCACAGAAGCUAAGUAGGGCAGGCAGUGGCAGCUUGGAGACAAGAUGAAGUAAGUUACCCUGCAUCCGGGGAACAGAGAAAAAUAAACUACUCACAGGCUCAAGGUGGCAAGAAGCAGAAGCCCGGGAGAAGCAGAAGACCCGAAGAAGCACAGCCUGGUCAUUUUGCACCAGUAGUGGAACGAUCACGUGAUACGUUAUCAACACCAACUCUGUACCAAGGUAGGGCUCAUGUUCCCACAAUUGCCGAGGCUGUGCCAACAGCAGCAGCCCUCCACUCCCAGGAGGAUUCCCCAGUCCUACUGCUGUCUCAUUGGAAAACCCCACUAGGGCUAUACAGUGCAACCUCCCUGACUGCUGUAGCCUCACCCUGCUGGGCCAAUGGGGCCAUGAUCUACCAUCUUGUCUCAGAUCCUCCUAGAAGACAAGGAUCCAUAGUGUGGUCUCUUCCAUAUCCCACGCUCAUGUUUUUGUGCUUCAUGUUGGCUCUGCUACUUUAAGUUGUCACAAGCGUAGGACAGAAGUGUUGUCUCGUGCCCUUAGCACAGGUGGCUGUAACGUGUCUCACGGAGAAGAGGCAUGCGUAGAAAAAGCUUCAUCUCAGGCACACUGUGUUGCUGGCUGUGGGUUCAGUCAUAAUGACUCCACAGUGCGUGGGAAACAAGGUUUUUCAGCGUCUGCAGUAACCGAAGGAAACAGGCCAACAGUGACCACGUAACCACACACUGGAGUAAGGUGUCUGACCUAACCUUCUGCUUGACGAAGCUGACUCAAUAUCGGCCUUCACUCUACAGAUGCCAAUAGAAUCCUGAGGGCCAAAUCAAAAGACCUGACUACAGGAGAUGAAGAACAGUUGCCUUGCUACUCUCCCAGAGUCAACGGUUUUUCCACUUCAAUCAUUCUCCCUUUAACCAACAGGAGUAAAGAAUGGCUGUCCCCUGACAAGCUCCACCCAGCAGCUGACUCAGACAGAUGCGGACACCCACAGCCAAACAGUGAAUAGAGCGUGGGGACGCUUAUGGAAGAACAGGAGGAAGGAUUGUGGCUUCCUGGAGGAGAGAGGAACUCCACGGGAAGACCGAAUGAACCAACUAACCUGCAUCCUCAGGGCUCUCAGAGACUGAACUAUCAACCAAAGAACAUACACAGGCUGGACCUAGGACUUCCUGCACAUCUGUAGAAGUGCAGCUUGGUCUCCACGUGGUUCCCAAACAACUGGAAGGGGUGGGGGGAAGGGAGCUUUGAAAGCCCACCCCCCAGUGACACGCUUCCUCCAACAAGGCCACACCUCUUACUCCUUUUAACCCUAUCAAAGAAUUCCACAACCUGGUGCCCAAGCCCUGGAAUACCUGAGUCUAUGCGACCAUUCUUAUUCAAACCACCACGUGGUCUGUCGUGGCAAGGAAAACACAGGCACAGAAGCGAAAGACCUGGUCACGCUGCACCCUGCCUGGAAGCAGAGAGAACAGGUGCCCUUACCCACUGAGCCAUCCUCAGCUCAAGAAAAAUUUUUGAGAAGUUAACUGAGCCAACUUUUAGGGAUUUUUUGUUUCUUUCGUUUUUUUCUUUUUGUUUUGUUUUUUGGUUUUGUUUUGUUUUGGAUUUUGGGUUUGUUUGUUUUUUUUGUUUUUGUUUUUGUUUUUUGGAAACAAGGUUUCACAAUGUAGCUUUCAAGACUAGCCUUGCACUCCCACUGAAGACUUGGUCCCUAGGUAGCUGUGCUAUUUUAGAAAAUGCUGGAAACUACUUUACCUAGUAUGGCCUUGUGGGAAGAAACAUGUCAGUCAGGAGAGCGUCCUUAGGAGAACGUGCCUGCCACUGGUAUACUUUACCUCACGGUGGUCUGAAGCAUCAGAGCCUGUUCAUAACCUGAAACCUGUGAAAACCUGUCAAAAUCCAUUCUUCUUCCUCCGCUUCCUUCAGACACUUGUCACAGUGACUAUGAGAGAGAGAGAGAGAGAGAGAGAGAGAGAGAGAGAAGAAAAAAAACUGACUUCAUGCCUCCCACAAGCUUCAUAGAUAAUGAAUAGAUAAUGGCUAUAACUAUUAAGUACCCAGAAUCCGGAAGAUGUUAAAUACUGUUAAUGGUUUCCAGCAUGACUUCCUUAUUCAGAUGAGGGGGCUGGGUUUAAAGAUAUCAGAGACAAACACUCACAAGAAGCCUAUGAAAGCCAGCAGUAUAAUCUGUCUUCCUCCUACACUCACAUGCACACACAUGUGCACACACACGUGCACACACACACAACCGCACACAACCACACAACCUCUGAAUGCCCUUCAGAACGUCCUGAAGCACUUAUGAGGCCGAGGUCAGGCUGCUGGCUGACUGUCAGAUACUGGGGCAUCGCUACUCUCUGAGAGAGGCCCUAAGCAGGAACUGAGUAACAGUCACAGUGAUGGAUGAUGGGCCGAGGUUUUGUGUUCUAUUUCUAACAGCUUAUCUCUGCUAGAUCCGGGAUUUCUGAGAUAACAUGUAACCGAAAGAAAUGCCAGCCAUCACUUCCUAAGUGAGACUGCACAGGCAUGGUGCUUGCAAGUUCUCCUUUCAGUUCACUUACGAGUGAAACACUGGGGCCUGGGGUAAUGAUGCACACCUGUAAUCCCCACACAAGAGGCAGAGACAGAAACAUCAGGAGUUCAAAGCCAGCCUUGGCCACACUGAGUGUGAGGUCAGCUUGCAGGGGAAAGAUGUGUAUCUAUGAUACUCAGUGUUAACUGAAGGCAGAUUAAUCAACCAGAAAGAAUGUACGUAAAGGCAAAGUAUUCAUGUUGAGCUACCUACGCUUUCCCCACGAGUAUCACAGAGGGACGGACCCUUUGGGCAGCAAUUAAAAAAGACCCCUGCCACUCAAGAUUUCUGCUUGCACAAAGUCCUUGAACCAGAAAGAGACAAUUUUAUGCCACGGGAUGCUGUGUCUGGAAAUCAGACUUCUGAGCUGGGAAGCUGACAAACAUCGCAAACACCAUUUAAUAAACCCCAGAAACAGGACUGGAGAGAUAGUUCAGCAGUUAAGAGCACUGACUGCUCUUCCAGAGGUGGUUCUGAG
rnacentral:sRNA from 1 species